rnacentral:misc_RNA from 1 species
GUAUUUCAUUGCGUUUUUAAGGCAAAAUAUUUACAUUCUAUGAUCAGAGUAUAUGAUAAUACAUAAGCCCGAGGGCCUACGGUGGGUUCACAGGUGUGUUGUGGAUUUGGGCGUGCACGCGCCCCGAGAGGCCAGCGACAACCCUCGCCUACGAUUCGAUAAUGAUCCUUCCGCAGGUUCACCUACGGAAA